rnacentral:RNase_P_RNA from 1 species
CGAGUCGGUCGGGCGGUCGCGGCGAUGGGAACGGGCACGGUUGUGCCGCCGCCCAUUGUCGAGGAAAGUCCGGACUCCACAGAGCAGGGCGGUUGUUAACGGCAACCCGGGGCGACCCGCGGGACAGUGCCACAGAAAAUAAACCGCCCACACUGUCAAGUGUGGGUAAGGGUGAAACGGUGCGGUAAGAGCGCACCAGCGCGCCGGGUGACCGGCGCGGCUAGGUAAACCCCGCCCGGAGCAAGGUCGAAGGUCGGACUCUCUGCGAGAGUGCGACUGCGCAGGCGUUCGAGGGCUGCUCGCCCGAGUCUGCGGGUGGACUGCUCGAGGCACCCGGCAACGGUGUGUCCAGAUGGAUGACCGUCCCCCGAUUUCGAUCGGGGACAGGAUCCGGCUUACAGACCGACUCGUCCG